rnacentral:pre_miRNA from 17 species
CCAAGGAGUUUGGUUUUGUUUGGGUUUGUUCUAGGUAUGGUCCCAGGGAUCCCAGAUCAAACCAGGCCCCUGGGCCUAUCCUAGAACCAACCUAAACUCGCGCAUCAUUCCUGGAA